rnacentral:rRNA from 1 species
AAUGGGCGCAAGCCUGACGGAGCGACGCCGCGUGAGGGAUGAAGGCUUUCGGGUCGUAAACCUCUUUUGUGGAAGAAAAAGGUAGCCACGAUAACACCGUGGUUGCUUGAUGGUAUUUCGCGAAUAAGCCCCGGCUAACUACGUGCCAGCAGCCGCGGUAAUACGUAGGGGGCGAGCGUUGUCCGGAGUUACUGGGCGUAAGGGGCGUGUAGGCGGUUGGAUACGUCUGGCGUGAAAUUCUACGGCUCAACCGUGGAGCUGCGCUGGAAACUGUCUGACUGGAGUGUCGGAGGGGUGACUGGAAUUCCCGGUGUAACGGUGAAAUGUGUAGAUAUCGGGAGGAACACCUGUGGCGAAGGCGGGUCACUGGACGAUAACUGACGCUGAUACGCGAAAGCGUGGGUAGCAAA